rnacentral:tRNA from 1 species
GCCGAUAUGGUGUAAUGGUAUCACAGCGGCUUGCUAAGCCGUCCAACAGAAAUGUUGUACAGGUUCAAAUCCUGUUGUCGGCG